CCAGACUCCUACGGGAGGCAGCAGUGGGGAAUAUUGCACAAUGGGGGAAACCCUGAUGCAGCGACGCCGCGUGAGUGAAGAAGUAUUUCGGUAUGUAAAGUUCUAUCAGCAGGGAAGAAAAUGACGGUACCUGACUAAGAAGCCCCGGCUAACUACGUGCCAGCAGCCGCGGUAAUACGUAGGGGGCAAGCGUUAUCCGGAUUUACUGGGUGUAAAGGGAGCGUAGACGGCAUGGCAAGUCAGAUGUGAAAGCCCGGGGCUCAACCCCGGGACUGCAUUUGAAACUGUCAGGCUGGAGUGCAGGAGAGGUAAGUGGAAUUCCUAGUGUAGCGGUGAAAUGCGUAGAUAUACGGAGGAACACCAGUGGCGAAGGCGGCCUGCUGGACAUUAACUGACGCUGAGGCGCGAAAGCGUGGGGAGCAAACAGGAUUAGAUACCCGCGUAU
rnacentral:rRNA from 1 species